AGUGAACGCUGGCGGUAGGCCUAACACAUGCAAGUCGAACGGCAGCACAGUAAGAGCUUGCUCUUACGGGUGGCGAGUGGCGGACGGGUGAGGAAUACAUCGGAAUCUACUUUUUCGUGGGGGAUAACGUAGGGAAACUUACGCUAAUACCGCAUACGACCUACGGGUGAAGGCGGGGGUCUUCUGACCUUGCUGGUUUUGAUGAGGCCGUGUCAGAAUAGCUAGCUGGCGGGGUUAAGGGCCACCCAGGAGACGAAUCGGAACUGGUCUGAGAGGAAGAACAGCCACACGGGAACUGAGACACGGUCCAGACUCCUAGGGGAGGAAGCAGUGGGGAAUAUUAGACGAUGGGCGCGAGCCUGAUCCAGCCAUACCGCGUGGGUGAAGAAGGCCUUCGGGUUGUAAAGCCCUGUUGUUGGGAAAGAAAAAAAGCAGGUUAAUACCCCGCGGUUCUGACGGUACCCAAAGAAUAAGCACCGGCUAACUUCGUG
rnacentral:rRNA from 1 species